UACGAAGGGGGCUAGCGUUGCUCGGAAUCACUGGGCGUAAAGGGUGCGUAGGCGGGUCUUUAAGUCAGGGGUGAAAUCCUGGAGCUCAACUCCAGAACUGCCUUUGAUACUGAAGAUCUUGAGUUCGGGAGAGGUGAGUGGAACUGCGGGUGUAGAGGUGAAAUUCGUAGAUAUUCGCAAGAACACCAGUGGCGAAGGCGGCUCACUGGCCCGAUACUGACGCUGAGGCACGAAAGCGUGGGGAGCAAACAGGG
rnacentral:rRNA from 1 species